ACACGGUCCAGACUCCUACGGGAGGCAGCAGUGGGGAAUAUUGGACAAUGGGCGCAAGCCUGAUCCAGCCAUGCCGCGUGUGUGAAGAAGGCCUUCGGGUUGUAAAGCACUUUUGUACGGGAAGAAAAGCACCUGGUUAAUACCCGGGUGUCAUGACGGUACCGUAAGAAUAAGCACCGGCUAACUUCGUGCCAGCAGCCGCGGUAAUACGAAGGGUGCAAGCGUUACUCGGAAUUACUGGGCGUAAAGCGUGCGUAGGUGGUUUGUUAAGUCUGAUGUGAAAGCCCUGGGCUCAACCUGGGAAUUGCAUUGGAUACUGGCA
rnacentral:rRNA from 1 species